rnacentral:rRNA from 1 species
UACGUAGGGUGCGAGCGUUAAUCGGAAUUACUGGGCGUAAAGCGUGCACAGGCGGUUUUGUAAGCCAGAUGUGAAAUCCCCGGGCUUAACCUGGGAAUGGCAUUUGGGACUGCAAGGCUUGAGUGCGGCAGAGGAGACUGGAAUUCCUGGUGUAGCAGUGAAAUGCGUAGAUAUCAGGAGGAACACCGAUGGCGAAGGCAGGUCUCUGGGCUGACACUGACGCUCAUGCACGAAAGCGUGGGGAGCGAACAGG